rnacentral:rRNA from 1 species
UGACGGUACCUGACUAAGAAGCCCCGGCUAACUACGUGCCAGCAGCCGCGGUAAUACGUAGGGGGCAAGCGUUAUCCGGAAUUAUUGGGCGUAAAGAGAGCGCAGGUGGGACUUCAAGUCAGUCUUAAAAGUGCGGGGCUCAACCCCGUGAUGGGAUUGAAACUGUAGUUCUUGAGUGCAGGAGAGGAAAGCGGAAUUCCUAGUGUAGCGGUGAAAUGCGUAGAUAUUAGGAGGAACACCAGUGGCGAAGGCGGCUUUCUGGACUGUAACUGACACUGAGGCUCGAAAGCGUGGGGAGCAAACAGGAUUAGAUACCCUG